AACGAACGCUGGCGGCAUGCCUAACACAUGCCAGUCGAACGAGACCUUCGGGUCUAGUGGCGCACGGGUGCGUAACGCGUGGGAACCUGCCCUUAGGUUCGGAAUAACUCCCCGAAAGGGGUGCUAAUACCGGAUAAUGUCUUCGGACCAAAGAUUUAUCGCCUUUGGAUGGGCCCGCGUUGGAUUAGCUAGUUGGUAGGGUAAAAGCCUACCAAGGCGACGAUCCAUAGCUGGUCUGAGAGGAUGAUCAGCCACACUGGAACUGAGACACGGCCCAGACUCCUACGGAGGCAGCAGUGGGGAAUAUUGGACAAUGGGCGAAAGCCUGAUCCAGCAAUGCCGCGUGAGUGAUGAAGGCCUUAGGGUUGUAAAGCUCUUUUACCCGGGAUGAUAAUGACAGUACCGGGAGAAUAAGCUCCGGCUAACUCCGUG
rnacentral:rRNA from 1 species